UAUUAGUCUUUUUUCCAAUAGCGAACUAAUUAGCAAGUUUAUUCCAAAAACACAUUCAAAGGCUGUGCCAUGUGGCGAAAUGCAGGAAUAACGUAUUUAGAAUAUUUAACUAGAAUGUCAAGCAUCUUCUCAAAAUGUAUCAAACCAUCAAAACAAAUGAAUUGUAAAAAACCAGCAACUUUACAUUUUAAAGAAAAAAUUUCCGCUUUGGAAACAUACAUUCACACAGAUGUUUCGGAAGCAUUUUUGGGUAAAAAAUGAACAGGAAUGAAUGAGUUAUAGCCAUAGAAGAUAUUGAAAAUUUAAACGGCACCAUUUGUUAUAUUUUGAAGUUUGCAAUUUUUCUAGUAAAAUUUCGUAUGCAAA